UAGGGAAUCUUCGGCAAUGGACGAAAGUCUGACCGAGCAACGCCGCGUGAGUGAAGAAGGUUUUCGGAUCGUAAAACUCUGUUGUUAGAGAAGAACAAGGACGUUAGUAACUGAACGUCCCCUGACGGUAUCUAACCAGAAAGCCACGGCUAACUACGUGCCAGCAGCCGCGGUAAUACGUAGGUGGCAAGCGUUGUCCGGAUUUAUUUGGCGUAAAUCGAGCGCAGGCGGUUUCUUAAGUCUGAUGUGAAAGCCCCCGGCUCAACCGGGGAGGGUCAUUGGAAACUGGGAGGCUUGAGUGCAGAAGAGGAGAGUGGAAUUCCAUGUGUAGCGGUGAAAUGCGUAGAUAUAUGGAGGAACACCAGUGGCGAAAGCGGCUCUCUGGUCUGUAACUGACGCUGAGGCUCGAAAGCGUGGGGAGCAAACAGG
rnacentral:rRNA from 1 species